UACAAAGUAAGAUUAUAUAAAUCUUAUCUAAUAAUCCUAAAUUAUUCACAUUUAUUCUGCCAACUUUGU
rnacentral:tRNA from 1 species